GGGGUGAGAGUUGUGAUUAUGAUUUGGGAGCAAUGAAAAAGGAAAAUAAAUGACUCUUUGUGUUUAAGUGAAUUGUCUUAUUGGGAUAAGUAGAAAAACCUCUAGCUCAAGUUAUGAAAAGUCUUGGCCCCCAUCUAAAAAAAAAAAAAAUGAAAUAUGAAAAGAAAAGAAAAAGAAAGAAAAAGGGGGCUAGCAAAGUUG
rnacentral:lncRNA from 1 species